AGAAAACUACUUUUCACAGGGGAGUUACUUGAAACUGCUCAUAAUAAGAGGUGACGGCACUUAACACACAGAAGAGAAUGCACAGAUACGAUGAGAGCAGCAGACGUUGAAUAAUACUGUGUGGAGGAAAGUGAUUCCUUUGGAGAACACCUCAGAAAAGAAAAUGGCUUAAAUGAUGGCCGUGUCAGCAUUGCUUCCUGAGAGCUACCCUUGGCCAGCUCUGCCUGCAAACAGGUACAAACCCCUGUCACUUAGACUGGAGUAUCUGUGAAAAAGCAGUAUGUCCUUCCCUGCUUG
rnacentral:lncRNA from 1 species